UGUUUUUGUUUAUGUUUAUCUUAUCUCACACGCACCUCAGUAGUUAGUUUAAGUUCCGUUUUGCAUAAGCUAAUUUUGGAACAUCUGAAAGGGUGACUUAAAAGCAGCAUUAGUGUGGUGUGAGUCAGUGCUUUCUUUUUUUUUUUUUUUUCUCUCUCUCUCUCACACAUGGGUCUCUUAUAUAAGAAGGUAUAUGUGGGUUAGGGUUUUGAGGGAGAGAACAGGAAAAGGUGUUGUUGAGAUGGGUUGGUAUUGAGGGGAAUGUUGGCUGGCUCGAGGCUUUUCACAAAGGAGGUUCACAGUGGUUGGAACUAUAAGGCUUCGGACCAGGCUUCAUUCCCCUCAAAAGUACUUGUUCAUUUGGCUUAUAUCUUUCUAAUCAUCAUCAUCAUCGUUUCAACUUCUUCAAACUUCAAACACAAAUAGGUUCUUUCUAUACACAUGUCAUGUGCGUUUGUGUGUUCUUUCCUUGCAAAGGUGAGGUUGAGAGGAAUGUUGUCUGGCUCGAGGUCAUGGAGUACUGAGAUCAGUGAAAGUUUCCAAUGGAAAUUUACCCUCUAACCCAUCUCGGACCAGGCUUCAUUCCCCCCACCCAACUUUUGCUGCUAUUUCCUUUCAAUUUCCUUUUUGCAUGCCCUCAUGGUAAGCCUUUCUCUUCCUUUUAUUUUUCUCUCAAUUUCCAUAACUAAAAAGAAUAAUGCUCUUUUACUGUUUGUUUUUGCAAGCUCAGAAUUUUCAUCUCACUGCCAAUCUUGUGUGUUUUAUAAAGGUUGUGGUUUCGUUACCUUCGUUUGUGAAUGUUAGUGAUGGCUGAAUCAAUUUGUUUACAUAUGUGGAAAGAAAAAGAAAACAAGAGAUUGAGUUUGCAUCUGUUCAGAUUAUGUAACUGUGCUCAAGUCUCCCAUGUAUAGAUUUAGUUUUCCUCACUAAUUUGAAGCAUUUGUAUGAAGAAUUAGUCCAUGCUUGAAAAUCUAUUAAUUUCAAGAAAUAAUCUUAUUUUUUAAAUAAAUGAUUUUCUUUUCAAAAUGGACUUUUUCUUUGUGUUUCUAUAUUUUCUCUCUCACACACAAAGAGAGAGAAAAUGGCAUGUACUACUAUACCACAAAGCAAAUCUGUCUAGUUUUCUGGUACAUUAUUAAUUUUAGAUUAACAUUUGAAAGAGAUAAGAUACUGUUACUGUGAAUAAUGAAUAUAUUAUUAACAAAUACGAUGGCUAAUCCCAGGCCAUAACACCUGCGGCCUGCGGGAAUGUUUAUUUCACGUGGACAAGAAAGCUGAAUGAAAGCAUCAACAGUGAAAACCUAUCAGAUGUGAAAUUCUUUAUUUUCUGCAACUAGCUGCUAUGCCUCUUAGGUCUUUCUAGCGUUUCAAACAUAUCAUCCUUCUUCUGAAGUCCUUUCAGCUUUUUUUCAAUUAACCCGUUUUCAGGCCGGUGAAAAUUAUAGGGAAUGCAACCUCACAACAAUUUACUCGGGAAACAGGCUAGCCAUCAUUUUCAUGAACAUCUGAAUGAAUGUACUUCAGUGAAAUGACAGUGAUGAGUGUUGGAAGCAUGCACUCACUAGAUGCUGAAGUUGCUGAGGCAAAUACGUGUGAAUGAGUUAAUGAAUGAAAGAAGGGAUCCAUGAGAACAUUGAGAAGAGAUAAGAGAUCAAUGUGCUGGAACAGUUAACGAGAAGAAGUGAGAAUCAGGAGAAGCUAGUUAGGGAUUCUAUGUGUCUGUCAUGUCACUCUUGCUAAGUAGCUAGAGAUCAGAUAUAUGAUAUGAUUAUGAUUUAUGACCACACCAUGCAUGCCAGCUUCCAUUAUCAUGACGACCCAGAUGUUGUAUGAAUCUAGCUGCAUGCAUAACUAAACCUGGAAAAAAGAGAAGGAGAAAAUAGAGCUUCUCUUUUCUUCUAUUCCAUUAUUACUAUUGUGUGUGUUUUAGUGUAAUGUAUUUAUGGAGCUUCUAAAGUUGUUGAAAAUGCAGAAACCAUGAAAGGAAAAGGCUUGGAUCAGCAAUAUCAGCUUCAUGCGCCUUUUCGUGCAGUCAUAGUAAUACUGAGACGAGAUCUUUUGGCUAGCAUUUGAAAUUGAAAAGCAUUUGGAGAGAGAGAAAGAGAGUAAAUUAAUGAAGAGUAUCUGAUGGUUUCUUGGGAAAUGAAACUGAGAGAAAGACACAGCUACUCGGGGAUCGCUUCAUGACAAACUUGGUCUCUUUAAAGAAGUGAAACAAUUGCACUCAUUUAUUGUUGACAGCUUCAUCAUCAAUUUAUUAUCAUUUGAGCUUCCUGCUACCUUUUCCACUGUCAGCCAGCUAUGCCAGCAAUAAAAUCUUCAAAAACAAAGUUAAACUUUCCCAAGAAUACUAAUACUAAUGAUAAACAAAUUCAA